GCGUGCCCGUGGCUUCGGCCACAAUGGGAAAGCGGCAGACGGCUGAGUAACGCGUGAGUAACCUACCCUCUGGUGGGGUAUAGCCGCGAGAAAUCGCGAUUAAUCCCGCAUAAGAUCCCCAAGCCCUGGUUUGGGGAUGAGAGCCUUCGGGCGCCGGAGGAGGGGCUCGCGUCCUAUCAGGUAGUUGGUGGGGUAAAAGCCUACCAAGCCGAUGACGGGUAGCUGGUCUGAGAGGACGACCAGCCAGAGGGGGACUGAGACACGGCCCCCACUCCUACGGGAGGCAGCAGCAGGGAAUCUUGGGCAAUGGGCGAAAGCCUGACCCAGCGACGUCGCGUGGAGGAAGAAGGCUCUAGGGCUGUAAACUCCUUUUCCAGGGGAAGAGUAAGGACGGUACCUUGGGAAUAAGCUCCGGCUAACUACGUGCCAGCAGCCGCGGUAAUACGUAGGGAGCGAGCGUUACCCGGAAUUACUGGGCGUAAAGUGCGCGUAGGCGGCUUGGUAAGUCUCUUUUGAAAGCUCCCGGCUUAACUGGGAGAGGUGAGGGGAAACUACCUGGCUUGAGGGCAGUAGAGGAAAGCGGAAUUCCCGGUGUAGCGGUGAAAUGCGUAGAUAUCGGGAGGAAUACCAGUGGCGAAAGCGGCUUUCUGGGCUGCACCUGACGCUGAGGCGCGAAAGCGUGGGGAGCGAACCGGAUUAGAUACCCUGGUAGUC
rnacentral:rRNA from 1 species